rnacentral:rRNA from 1 species
UACGGAGGAGGCUAGCGUUGUUCGGAAUUACUGGGCGUAAAGCGUGCGUAGGCGGUUUUUUAAGAUGAGUGUGAAAGCCCGGAGCUCAACUCCGGAACUGCGCUCAUGACUGGAAUACUUGAGUCCGAGAGAGGUGAGUGGAAUUCCCAGUGUAGAGGUGAAAUUCGUAGAUAUUGGGAAGAACACCAGUGGCGAAGGCGGCUCACUGGCUCGGUACUGACGCUGAUGCACGAAAGCGUGGGGAGCAAACAGG